CCGGGGUAACCCGGUAGUGGCGGACGGGUGAGUAACGCGUGGGUAUCUGUCUCCGGGUGGGGGGAUAACCGUGGGAAACUACGGCUAAUACCGCAUGACACCUGAGGGUCAAAGGCGCAAGCCGCCUGGAGAGGAGCCCGCGUACGAUUAGCUUGUUGGCGGGGUAAUGGCCCACCAAGGCGACGAUCGUUAGCUGGUCUGAGAGGAUGAUCAGCCACACUGGGACUGAGACACGGCCCAG
rnacentral:rRNA from 1 species